AUGUAUUCUGUGUGUAAUGCUUAUCGUUUAUGUAUAAAUGAAGCUAUUGAUAACUCCUAUCAUAGAGUUGAUGAGAAAUGGCACAUGGUUUGGAAGUUAAAGAGCUCUCGUAUGGUCAAAAACUUCUUCUGGCGUAUGUGUAGGAACUAUGGACCAACUAGAGCGCGUCUAAAGGAUAAGGGUGUUGAUUUCCCCUCUAACUGCAACUUUUAUGGGGAAGAGAAGGAUGGCAUUAUUCAUUUGUUCUUUUGGUGUCUGAACUGUGUGGAGUGUUGGGAAAAGUUGUUAACCAAGAGCAACAAACAACAUUCUCUACUAUUUUGUGGAGCUUAUGGAAAUGUUGGAAUAAUCAUAUUUGGAACCAAAUCGAAGACUCCUGAGAUACUAUUUAUAAUCGUGCUUUGCACUUAUUACUAG